UUGGUGGGGUGAUGGCCUACCAAGGCUGCGACGGGUAGCCGGCCUGAGAGGGUGUCCGGCCACACUGGGACUGAGAUACGGCCCAGACUCCUACGGGAGGCAGCAGUGGGGAAUAUUGCACAAUGGGCGCAAGCCUGAUGCAGCGACGCCGCGUGGGGGAUGACGGCCUUCGGGUUGUAAACCUCUUUCACCAUCGGCGAAGCCGGUAGCUUUUGUUGUCGGUGACGGUAGGUGGAGAAGAAGCACCGGCCAACUACGUGCCAGCAGCCGCGGUAAUACGUAGGGUGCGAGCGUCGUCCGGAAUUACUGGGCGUAAAGAGCUCGUAGGUGGUUUGUCGCGUUGUCCGUGAAAUUCCCUGGCUUAACUGGGGGCGUGCGGGCGAUACGGGCAGACUGGAGUACUGCAGGGGAGACUGGAAUUCCUGGUGUAGCGGUGGAAUGCGCAGAUAUCAGGAGGAACACCGGUGGCGAAGGCGGGUCUCUGGGCAGUAACUGACGCUGAGGAGCGAAAGCGUGGGGAGCGAACAGGAUUAGAUACCCUGGUAGUCCACGCCGUAAACGGUGGGUACUAGGUGUGGGUUUCCUUCCUUGGGAUCCGUGCCGUAGCUAACGCAUUAAGUACCCCGCCUGGGGAGUACGG
rnacentral:rRNA from 1 species